GGACAUUGCAAUCUGCAAGCAACUGUCUACUCAACGAGUUAGUGAAUUCAUAUUGAGUUUAUCAUUAUUCCUUGUUAUUUGUCAUUUGAAUUCAGUUUGUGGAUCUCAUCUCUGUUAGAAAGGUGAUACAAAUGUAGUAUGAUAAAUGUGAUAAGAGUACUAUUUUUUGUGACUAAAAAAUAAAUUGAAAAUGAAAUAAUUAUCAAAUAUUCCCGAAAAGUGAUGAAUUUUAGACCUAGGAAUAUUUUUGCAUUUGUCCCAUCCCAGACAUGAUAGUUUCUUUAUGUUUACUCCCUCUUACAAUGAAAAAUCAUCCUCCUCCACCUUUAAUAAACCUUGAAUUUUGAGAGUUAUCUAUUUCCAAUCCAAUCCUAAAUAGGAAAAGAGGUCUUUGGGUUUUACCUAAAAAGGUUUAGUGAGGUCACAUUAUUUUCUUGCAAUCAUAUCUAUACUACUACGGGAAAAAAAUGAAACAAAAUAUUUAUAAGAAACUUUACGAGCUGAAAAAUGUCAAAUGGAUGCUAGCUGUCUAAAUACUAUUGAAUACUGAGGUUUUUCUUGUCCAACUUAACUUUUGAAGUGUUUGUAUAGUUAGCAAGAUUUUA
rnacentral:lncRNA from 1 species